rnacentral:rRNA from 1 species
CAAGUCGAACGGGCCUGGUUUUCGAAUCAGGUCAGUGGCGUAAGGGUGAGUAAGGCGACGGCAACCAACCCCAUGGUUGGGUAUAACCGCGGAAGCUGCGGAUAAUCCCCAGCGAUGUUCGUGUCGGGCAUCCGAUGUGAACCAAAGUUUCGGCGCCGUGGGACGGGCCGUCGUGGUAUUAGGUAGUUGGCGGGGUAAUGGCCCACCAAGCCUCUGAUGCCUACCGGGCGUGCGAGCGUGGCCCGGCACACUGGGACUGAGACACUGCCCAGACUCCUACGGGAGGCUGCAGUCGAGAAUCUUCGGCAAUGGGCGCAAGCCUGACCGAUCGACGCCGCGUGGAGGAUGAAGGCCUUCGGGUUGUAAACUCCUGUCGAGGGGGAGGAAGGCGCAAGCUUGACCUAUCCCUGGAGGAAGCACGGGCUAAGUUCGUGCCAGCAGCCGCGGUAAGACGAACCGUGCGAACGUUAUUCGGAAUCACUGGGCUUAAAGCGCGUGUAGGCGGAUGGGGACGUCUGUUGUUGAAAGCCCCCGGCUCAACCGGGGAACUGGCGCCGAAACGCCCUGUCUUGAGGAGCGUAGGGGGACCUGGAACUUCCGGUGGAGCGGUGAAAUGCGUUGAGAUCGGAAGGAACGCCCGUGGCGAAAGCGAGGUCCUGGACGUUAUCUGACGCUGAGACGCGAAAGCUAGGGGAGCGAACGGGAUUAGAUACCCCGGUAGUCCUAGCUGUAAACGAUGGGCACUGGGGUAGGGGGCUCGCCGAUGGGCUCUCUGCCGUAGGGAAACCGUGAAGUGCCCCGCCUGGGGAGUAUGGUCGCAAGGCUGAAACUCAAAGGAAUUGACGGGGGCUCACACAAGCGGUGGAG